rnacentral:lncRNA from 1 species
UAUGCUCUUUUUCUAGAGAAAUGUUUAAUUUUUGCAGAUUUUAUUCAAGUGACUUGUAGUUCCUUUAUAUUUGUUAAUAUUCUUGAAAGGGACCAGCUGCCUGCUGAGGAAUAAAUCAGGGAGUGGAAAUACUGAGUGAGAAAUUUUUACUUGGAUGUGUUGUCUCAAACACCCUGCCAUUCAAUAUGUUAUUUUCUUCACCCCAGAGGCUAUAGAAGAACUGGAGAAGAUUCCAUUUGAUAGUCACAGAAAAUACAUCAGGUACUAAAUGUUGCUGAUUUAAUCAACAUGAUAUUGAUGCUUACAGCUUUAACCCCUCAACCCCACAACAGCAGUGAAUGGCAUAAUAACACCAACGACCUCCUUUUGUAUUUGUUAGUGCCCUUAAAUCAAUGACAUUGGGGAAGAGAGGCUUUAGAUACUGAAUCUUUUUAUAUUUUUAAUGAAAUUUAUCUCUAUGCCCUGAUAUGUUCAGAUAUAUUUUAAUCAAUUUGUUAAGUAAUAUAGACAGAUGUCCAUGAACAGAAUUACAAAUUAUGCUAAGAAACACCAUACAUUGCACUGAUGUUUUUGGAAAUGUCAGUUUGUGCAUUUGACUACUGUAGUCUGCAAGUUCUCAUUGGAAGAGAAGACACUGUCAUUUUCAUCUUUGUAUACCCAGGGCCUAACA